UCUCAACAAGGUAGAAGGAAGCACGCGUCGCCGGCAACUAUUGCCCAGAAGAAGAAGGCUGCCCAGAUAGGACCAGAGGGGAAAGUCCAGCGAGCGCACUCCCAUGGCCUGCCUUCCAAUUUGGAUCGUUAUGAUGAUGGCGAGGAUCAAGCUGAGAGCUCCUCUGGUGCCACAUUGGGAGAAGGAGUAAUAGCGCCUAAGAGCAAAGGAGCAGACUUUACGUACUUGAUCGAGCAAGCUCAGUCACGGCAGAACGACCUUAGGGCAGCAGCCGUGCCAGAAUCUCCGUCCUUCUUUGACGAGCUAGCCACGGAUUUCAUGAAAGGGGUAAGCUCUAUCCGUACUGUAAGAAGUAAGAAUCUUCUAUUUCGGUGCAAAGAUGACAACUUUGUUGUGGAUGAUGACCUUACUUCAAGCUAUGAGAUACCAUUCCUCAACUUGGAUUUGCAUGCUAUCGCUGAACAAUUAUCAAAAAUUAAACUUUCAGAGAGGCUUUUUAUUGAAGAAGAUCUGUUGCCCAUUGAUCUUCGUUAUGACGACUCGAAAGGUUGUUCUUCAUCUUUUCAAUCCGAAGAACUUGAGGCAUUUAACAUGGAGCAAAAUCUGGAAGCACCACAUUCUCACAUUUAUUCCCCACCAUCAAAAGAUCUGCUAGGCCAUGCUGAUGACCACAACACAAAUAUUUUCCCUAAUCCAAACAUCUCCAGAGCUUCCCCAGCACAUGGAAAUGGCCAUGAAACAACGGUUGGCGUAAAUUUAGCGCAGCAAUAUGAUCAAAUAGAAUCCGAGCAAUCACUGAAAAAUAUCAGCAAAAGCUCUACUUCAAAGAUCGGAGAAGCAGAAGCAGAGCUUGACAUACUUCUCCAAUCAUUUAAAGAAACCAGUCUUUCAGAUUCUAUUCAAUGUGAUUUUCUCGACCAAGAACCUGCUUCUAAGAUCUCUUUGGAUGAUUCUCUGCCACUCCAUUGGAAAUCUGCUCCAAAUAUUGAUUUCUUUCAUCCAAUGCAUCAACAUCUAAGUGAUCAAACUCAGUUUUCUUCAAAGAAAAUGGUGAAAGCUUCAAUAGAUGAUGAUUCCAUUGAUGAUUUGCUUGCUGAAACCUCACAAAUCCUGAAAUUGCAGAAACAUGAGAGAGCUCCAGGUCCAGCUCCACAACUAGGCUCAAUCUUUUCUAAUACAAACCGCUCCGAUUCACAUUCUGGUUCAAGCUCGAUUGACGUGCUUGGAGGGCGUAAGUCCGUACUGACUCAAAUUGGAGAGGCUUCGUCCAAGGGUGUUUCUACCAAUAUAGGCUCAGUUGCUCUGAUGGAUGAUUUUGAUUCAUGGAUGGAUUCAUUCUGACAAUUUUUCGGGUGCAUUACGCCACGGCGAGUCUAUCGAGUGGAUCAAGCUUCUGAGAGUUUACGGUUCAAAGUAGAUUUCUAGCGACAAAUGCUUUGAAUUGAAAACAAGGAAAAGAGUUGGGAACGGAGGCACUGCUUUUGCUUCUUAUCAUUCUCUCUCAACUGGCUUGUGAGGUUAACGCUGAGUGCCUUUGAACGGGAUGUCAUGUGCAUUGAGGCUUUGAUCAUCAAAAGUAGCGAGGUAAUUAGUUGGAUGCAAUAAUCCAGCUUUCAUUAGUUUUUUUUUUAAAUAUUUUAGAGGGAUUUAUAUAUUUUUAAUUGGU